AGGCCUUGGCUCUGUGUAAGCGCUGCUCAGUGAGAACUAAAACAUCCCUGUGUUAUCAACACUGUUUUGGUCUCAAAUCCAAAACAUAGCCCCAUACAAGCUGCUAUGAAGAAAAUUAACCCCAUCCCAGCCAAAACCAGUACACAUGGGAAUCACAGUCUUCCCUCCCAGACCAACAGUAACAGCCGUAGGUCUGCAGCCCCCGUGGCCACGGCUAGGAAAAUCAAAUGCUGCAAAAUCUACACACUAAAAUAACUUACACCUUUUCUCUCUCUUUUUUUUUUAUUCCAAUCUCAGGUAUCUUUGAAAACUCAAGGCUUGUGAUAAUGGGAAUUGUGUGCUCUUUGUAUUUCCUCUACCUUACUUAUGGUUCUUCCUUGCAAAAGGAAAACCAGUUAUCAAGACUGAGUGUAGUGCAACUAUUUAACCUCUUCCUAAAUUGUAACAAUGCUCAGUUUCUAACUGUUCCUGAUGUCAUAUGGCAUGUGUGAUGCCCAGGGUCAUCCCCAUUCACAUUUCACAGAGGAGAGUCCUUGCUCUUCCUCCAGAUUACAUCUGAUGGGGGGGAGAGGACUUACUUCAUCCCACAGGGUCAUCUAGCAGCUGAACAGCUGAGCAUCAGCCGCUCACCUAGGCUUCCUCAAUGGUCAAAAAAGAGAAAAAGCACAUCUACAAGGCAAGAUCCAUCACCUGUUUUGGGAUGGGGAUGAAUCGCCCUCGGGCAAAUUUGUCUUUGAUGUUCAUAGCCAAGACAUAGAUGAUUACCUUUUGGAAGGACAAGGCCAGGCCAGGUGAUUGCCACUGUCAGGGACAACCACUAGCUGAAUGUCCCAAAAGAGGAACAGCCACUCUUAAUUUAAUCAUGAGUCUUUUUGCCGGCGAUGUGAUCUUAAUGGCUCAGUUGCUGGUAUCACAUAGCUAUGUGGGAAUCUGCUUUCAUUAAAAGAAAAGUUUUCCCUCCUGGCCAUUGAAUACUUGAAAAUGUCAACCUUCUGUUUACCAAAAACAUAUGUGCACAUACGCACUCACACCAGCUAGGCAGUAUCCCAGUGUAGUUAUUUUUAAAGACACUUAAUGAGUUUUGGCUGACCCAGCACAUAAUUUCUGAGGUUGCAUUUCAAGGGUUGUUAUGGUGAAAAGGUAUAAGACGAAAGCAGAAGGUUUGGACGGACUGAGCUCCUCAAACAAUGCAUUGGUGCAGCAGAAUGGUCCCCUACAUGUGUACACCUCUGGUGACAGAGGACUUGGAGCUGCACUGAUUGACUUCUCCAUUUUGCAAAGCCACACUACAGCCCCAUUGCUUUACCUCAGCCUGUAGGAGAUCAGAGAGAUCUGUAAAAAUGGUGAUCAGGUUGCGAGGAUAAAUGUUGCUAUUGUGAGAGCUAGAUCUGCAGGCAAAACCUCCUGUCAAGACAGGACAGACGUGACUACAGCUGGGGAAAAGAAGUGUGUGAGAAAGGACACAGUGGAGGGUCUGAAACUAAGAAAUUUCAUGGAAAGAGAGAAAACCACUUGUGAUUCCUGGGAUGGGCAAGGUGUGCAUUUGACUGGAAAAAGACUGGGGACUUGAGGAUUCAUGCGUGAGGCCAACUAGGGUUCUGGAUCAUGAGGGAUCAUGAGGACAGUGGUUUGUAGCAGCUCCUUUUUUUGGGAACAGCCUGCAGGAUUCACAAAAAGAGAAGCAAACCACUGUUGUUCCCUGGGAAUACCUCUGAAAUCAUGUGUAUGUCCUGUGCCAAGCAGGCACACAGCCAUCCUCCUGUGAGGAGGAGGAUGGCCAGCAUUACAUUUUAAUAACCGGUCCAUGUGUUUUGGAGGGUGGGGCCCAUCUUGCCUCCAGAGGCUGUUUUCUUUGAGGAUAAUGCUUUUCAAACUGGUGGGGGUUCUCUUAUGCAGGGGAUUAUAUCUACUAAAACAAAGCUAAAAGAGAGCAGUUGGGGAAAUAUGUCAUGAUUAUUCAUAAAGGCCAAUUAAAAAAAUGUUUUUAGUGACUUAAUUCUCUCUUAGUGAGUGUGGUUGUUGGAUCCAUGCUUUGUUUUGAUUCAGAUGGUAUCUGCAGCAGGGUGAAUCACUUGAACUGAAGCCCUGAGCUUUUGAAAUACCAACUUUUCUUUAGGGAAGCAGAAAAAUAGAGCCAAAAUUUAAAUUCAGCUGAUUAAAAUAAGCAGUUUAAAAAUACCUGCUUAAAAGUUCUGGUGUAUUGUAACCUCUCAACUUAUUAAAGCCAAGAAAAACCAGCUUUUGGACAGGCUGUUUUAACAAAUAUGCAGGUCCUUAAACUGCUUUGAAAUCUCAUGACUUUCCAAAUGUAGACUUUGGGGCUGGGAGGUGGGAUGGGAAAGUUAGCAGAAGGCAAUGUCUACCUUUCUUGAAGUGUGUCUUUAGUUUUUACACAAGAGAAAAAUGAUGUUGAAGGCUUAUAGGUACUGCUUUGACCCAACCAAGCACAAACCGGGUAAGACCGAGGCCUACAACAGCCUUUAGCACCACACAUGGCUUUCCCAGCCUACCAAGGGCCAUGUUCUAGGAAAACCUUCAUCUUUAUUACCUAGGGACAGGGGAUGCUGGUGGCAUUUUGCCUGCUGGUGUGCUACUGACAAAUUAAAAAAGAAUUAAUAUUACUAAAAGAUUAUUUUUCCCUUACCCAGUAGCGUAACACACCGAAAUAAGUCCUGUUCACUCGCCUGAGAGCUUAAGUGCAGGAAAUGCAGUGCUGUCUCUUACGCAGCACCAUUAUUAGGGUACAGCAGGUAGAAAGACGGCCUUGACAUACUUGUUAAUGCUGCCUUGAGCCCUCUCCCCACACCGUGGUUUUCAUGAGGUUUCAGAGCAGCGAAACACAGCAGGGAACGGGGUUACUGGCUCUGACCACACCAGGCAUCGGCACCACUCGCCGCGGGCCGCCGCGUUCCUCCCUUGCUCAAGGGUGAUGCAGCUGAGAGCACACCACGGCUGCCCUCUCCCAGCCCAGCCCUGCGGGACUCGAGCUGGGAGGAUUCAAAGCUGCUUUUCUGUUUUAUUUUUCUUCAGCAAUGCAUUGGCAGUGGUGUAGCCCCAAUUGCAGCUGUAGUCACACAGACACAAGGACCCCGGUACUCAUUCCUGAGUUUCUGUAUGGCAACUAGUAGUUACCCCAGUAUAAGGAGAUAAAGGGACUUAUACCAUUGUACUGUGGUAUAUAAGGUAAGUUAUUAGAUACAGGCACAUACAUACAUAAAUACAUGUAUGUGUAUACUAUGUACAUUACACCAUACAGGAGUGGUGAAUGCACCAUACUCUGAACACAGGCAAGGGUAGCCUUAUUUUGCAACCAGCGAUGGUACAUCAGCUUGGAAAACAAGGAAAGAGAUGGUUAAUCAGAUCUUUUCUUUUUCACUGUGCAUUGGCUUCACUCCAAUAGCUUGCAGGCUUUAUUAAUGGACUUUAUUAAAAGCCUAACCCUUCUCUCCACUCGGCUAAAGGCUGAGAAGCCCCUAAUGCAUGGUCCUGAAGGGAAACCUUCAGCAGAAACCGAGAAAGCAAACUCAACAGCCCAACCAGAUAUUUUAAGGGCCAAAACUAUGGUUUCCACCCCAGGAGAGCUUCUACCUACAACAAGCUAUACAGAGAGCUUUCCUUGGCCAUCAUGGAAAGGUGGAAAGACCUCCUCCAGCAGGGUCUAGAGCAUCAGCCAGGCUUCCCACCAUCAGGGCCAGGGGCGUGCAGGCUGGGCAGCACGAGCUGGCAUCACCCCACCGGCAGCACACGUGGUUUUUGGGUUUCCCUGACCUCUGGUGUGACCCCAAAGAGGGAUGCCCAGGCGGGAUGCCUGCAGCAGUCGUGCGAUGCCGGCUUGCUUGGCAGCUGUACUGCAAAGGCUUGGGCAAGGGAAGAGUAUCUGCGCUGCCACCCCAGCUGUAGCUACUCCCUGUUAGCUGUAAAAAUUACACUAUGAAAAGCAAGCAAUUACUCAAAACUGGUAAAUUAAAAGUGUAUCUGUAGAUGUAAGUUAUAUUUUAUUCAAGUCAAAGUCUACCUAAUAUUGCUGCAGCUAUGCAGUGUUUGGUAAGCUGCAAGGAAGGUACACAGACAUUUUGAAGGAUUCCAGCAGAAUGUGAAUGCUGCAGAAUAACAUAAGCUUUUCUAAGAGGUGUGAAAGCAUCAAGUCUCAGAAGAAGAGGGCAGAGCAGCAGAUAUUUGUAAAGGUAGCCAGCGGAACAGAAGAAGCACAGGCUUGGGGCUGGCCAGUAGCCAAAAGCAACAAAAGGGAAGAAUUUGCUGAAUUUGCAAGGGUAGAAGAGGGGAAUUAAAGCACAAAAUCUAUGGCAAAAAUAACCAUAUCCUAUAGCUUCCCCCAAAUGAAGGAAAAACCAACGAUGCCACAGAAGUGACCGAAACCAAGAAGCUGAAGGUAUUUAUGGAAAUCCCUGUGCCCUGGGAGUUUGUAAAUGAUGUAACUCCAUCCUGAAAAAGGGCAAGUAACAAAUCAGUUUCUGACAUGUCCCACACCCCAUCCUUGCGCACACGCACCACCAAGCUGGUGCUAGACCAGAGACGUGGUCCAGAUAUAAACCUUUUUUAUCUUUUAAAUGGGACCUGUGAGUGUUCUUUUUUCCUCCAUUUUUCCUAGAUAGGCUCAUCAUCACAGUGUGUCAUUUUUUUUGUAAAUGGCAAACCAUGGUUGCUUUUCAGCUAGCUUGUAGCAGGGGGAGUAUUUUAUCUGAGUCACCAGAGCCAUCUGUUUUAGACAAGUAUUUUAGUGAAUGAUCUCUCCCUUAUAGUUAUACAAUUUCUUUAUUCUCCUGUUUAAGGAUUAAUUACGUGAAGAAGAAGGCAGGGUGGCCUCUCGCUGGCUCGCUCACCCUCCCUCCAUGAGCACCUGCUGGCAUUAAACCAUGUGCCUCACCCAACUUCAGCACCACCAAAUAUUAAAAUGUUCCCUACAGAUUGCUCGGAGUAUAAGAACAUCAUGUGGAGAUGGGGGUUCCUCAAAACAUUGACCCAUGCCUGCUUCCUGCAGCACUUGGACAUCGUUCAAGGUUCACAACCAAUGUUUCCUCAGUAUGGCAAGUUCCUCCCCUCCUUGCAAGGGGUUUGGGUGACUUCAGCCUCAACUCCUUCCCUUGGUUCCCACUAUCGGUGGUGUUCCUUCCCCUUCUCCUUUCUGCCCGUCCAUCAAACCCCAAGUGAAACAGCCUCCACAGUGCACGUGUCGGGGUGGCUUCCCCUCGUGGUUGGCAGCGUGAGACUUGGCACCAUCCUCUCCCAUACCAUGCUGCAAGCAAGACUGGUGCCGCUGGGCUAGCCACCUUCCUCGUGUCCCUCCACACAUGGCUGUGUAGGGUGGGUGGCUUCAGCCCAACUGGGCUUCUGGCCCCAAACUCGCUGCAGCGCCAGGCCAAUGCCCAGGCUCCCGGCAGCGGUUUUGGCCGAGGCCAGUGGGGAAGUUGGGGCACACAGGGUUUCUGUUGGCAACCUCUUGUCACCCAUAGCCAUGACCAUGCCCAUCACGUGUCAGAGACCAGCAGUCCCUGGGAUGUGGCACGCCAUGGUGGCCAGCCUGGUUACAGGCCUUUACAGCCUUGGGAUAUUGUUUAAUAGGAUGGUUU